rnacentral:RNase_P_RNA from 1 species
UCAGCGAGGCGAGCGACCGCUGGCGGUCUUCGGACCGCGGGAGGAAAGUCCGAGCUUCGUAGGGCAGGGUGCUGGUUAACGGCCAGUCGAGGAAACUUGCAGGAAAGUGCCACAGAAAACAUACCGCCCCUCAGCCGGCGUUUGGGCCGGGGACGGGGUAAGGGCGAACCGGUGCGGUAAGAGCGCACCGCGCGCGUGGUGACACGGGCGGCACGGCAAACCCCACCCGAAGCAAGGCCGAAUAGAGAUCCGCGGGCUGGUCUUCGGAUGAGCCCAUGAGUUGCCCGCUCAGAGGAUCCGGGUAUGGCUGCUUGAGCGCUUCGGCAACGAAGCGCCUAGAGGAAUGGUCGCAACCGCACUUCGGUGCGGGGACAGAACUCGGCUUACAGCCGCGCGGGCGCG